rnacentral:tRNA from 1 species
AAAGGGAGACCUAAUUCAGGUAGGAGACGAAAAAAAAGUAGUCGCUACCAAGAAUCAAUCCCAAAAGGUCGGAGCGAGGCGAAAUUGGCUUUCAAACUAGGUUCUGGGUUCACACAAGACCUGAAUCAGGAACAAGGGCUAUUAGCUCAGGUGGUUAGAGCGCACCCCUGAUAAGGGUGAGGUCCCUGGUUCGAGUCCAGGAUGGCCCACCUGUACAGGUGGCAAAAAGAAAGAAAAGAAGCGAGGAAUCAGCACCUUAUCUUAUUUAUAUAGUAAGAGAGAAUGCUGGCUCUGAGUUCAGAGUCCAGAGGAACCUUGAAAACUGCAUAGAGCUAGGUGAAAAAGCCAAAAAAGAAGACCGCAAG